CUUCACAAAGGGGGUCACACAGGCAGGAGCACACUAACCUCAUCUUGUGUUAGUGCUCGGGGAUAAAAGAACAGUGUUUCUGCCAUCAAAUGGUGCAGUUGCUCUCUCCGAACCGCCGGCACUUCAUCAGUUUCAGUCCCAGUGGAAAAAUCUUUAGCUGUUGUUACCAGGCUCCUGCUGCUUCUGACUGAAAAGCUUUGUGCACCAGCUAGAGCUUUUUUAGUUUUUUCGACCAAGAACACAGAAAUCACCAGGCUGGAUCAGACCUGAGGCCCCUCUAGUUCAGUAUCCUGGCUCUAACACUGCCCAGCACCAGCUGCUUCAGAGGAAGGUGCAAAGAACCUGCAUUAGCAGGGAAGCCAGCAUGGAGAGUGGCGGACUGGUCGUACGUAGCCUGUGUGGCUGAGAGGAGGCGUUGCAGUGUGUGGUGCUAGUUGGAGUUCUCUGCAUGUGGAAGUCUCCAUGCCCAGGUAUAUGACAUUGUUGUUGUCCAGCCAAGAGGUGACGAAGACAUGAGUAACUGAGGCCAGGUCUUCAUCUGCCAGGGCGGGAUGGAGUCUCCCAGCCAGCCGGACUCGCAUUGUUCUUCAGGAGGCAAUGUGAAUUGAGGGCAAAACCAGCCAGUGAGCUUCCUUUUUCCCAAAGCAAUUCUGAGAGUCCAGCACAAGACAUGUUAUCAGGAAUACAGAGUGUUGGGGGCAUAACAGCAGGGGGGUCUGCCCAGGUUUCCUGGUAUUUCCUCAAUGGGAAAAAAGAACUAGUUCAGAAGCAAUUUCCAGUCUUCUAUCCAUGAGUAUGAAAUUUCACUGAGUCUAAACAGAGGGCUAAUGAGGGAGAGAAGGUGGCUGGUCAAAGUAGCUGCUAGGCCUCAUUUCAGAGAGUGUGGGGAGGGGAAUCUACAUGUGCUUCUGCUAUUCAGGUGAAGCUGGGGGAGCAGUGGAGAGGUGGGGGGUGUUAGAAGGUCUGCAUGGCAGUCACCACCUCUUGCCACCCUUCUCUUGGUCUCUCCUGCAGGCCCCCUGCCCCUGUCUUCACUGCUUCUGGCCAUUGAACUGGGGCCCUUCUCAUGGCACUCCUAUGCAAUGUCCUGGGCCCACCAGACACUGCUGACGAAAGCACUGGGGGCCAUCUGGUUUGGUCUGCACCCCUACAUGUGAUCCAACUCUCCUUUGGGCUCAUCAUCCAAGGCGAGCAGCCCCCUAGGUGCUGGAUCCAGGGAUGCAAGGUUUGACGUAGGCUUGUUAAUAAAAACACUGUUGGGAGGACGAGCAUGGUGUGUUCCUGGAAGCCACUCGGUGUUUGUAUCCUGUAGGCGCAACAACGUCAGAGAGUAAAUGUCAGGUCCCCGGGCAGGGAGAGCACUGGAUCUUGCUGCUACUGCGUAUCUGGUAACUCAGGAGCCAGCAGCAUCUGGGGGUGUUUUUCUCCUGCCACUCCAGAGUGUGUUUGAAGAUGUCAGGCUGUGUCAGGUGCAUGUAGGACAGGAGGUGCCCUGCCCAGCAGUUAGGGACUGGGUAAGACUCAACUCCUGGGGAGAUGGAAUCCUCUGGGAAGUCCAGCCAGCAUAACUGUGUGCGUAUGGCACUUCACGCAGUGGGGGUCACUCAGCAGCAGUGUACUGAAAACACACCACCAAGGCAGCGACCUGCCUUACAAGGACAUUCUGUAGGUUGCUAAGUCAAGCACUUGGAAGUGCCAGAUUGAUGCAACCAUCAUUCUUUCCCCUUGUGCGUGCGUCCGGCUAUUAAUGAGGCAGGGGUGCAGUGGGAAACCUGUGUGGGAUUGUGUAAUCAUAGACUGUACCAGAUGUGUGCGCCCAAAGGGCAGAACAAGGGCUGUACAAGCAACCAGAAGCUGUACAGCUGGCAUUUCCAAACUUGUGAGCACCCGAAAUAACUGUCUUGUAACGUUGAUUUACUGCAGGCAACAUCCUAGGGGGUUUUUUACAAAGAAAAACCAGAUUCUGUUAUGCACAGUGGUGAUGAGCCCUUCACUGUGCAUCAUCAGCAGAGUUUUAACUGAGCCAUCAGCAUUUCAGCACAGAUUGCUCACACUGGGGCUACAGGAUUACAUUAUCUGGGGCCAGGCAAGGGGUUAUUCUAGGGGGAAUGGACUGCUGGGCCCAGGUGCUGGAUCUAAAGAUGGUUGAUUGGUUGGGGGUGGGGGGGAGCUGGCUCACUGUGCUCUCUGUCUCCCCCGACUUCCAGAACUGGGGGAACUCCAGACCCAAGAGGGUGGGAAUGGGCCACUGGGGCCAAGGGCUCAGUCCUGGGGGAGGUUUCCAGUCCUGCUCUCUCUCCAUCCUCAGCACUGCAGCUAGUCUGGCAGCUCCCAGGUGUGCCCAGCCCAGCGCAUGUUGCUGCUGCUGCUGCUUUGGGGGAGGCAGGAGCCCAGCCCUCUUGAAUGUAUGUGGGUUUAGUUCUUAGUUUUGCGGUGUGCCAGAAAUUUCCUGAGAAAUGGUUGUUUUCCAGUUUAUAUCUCAGACAUAGCAGAACAGGAUUUUAUGAAACAGAGAAGAGACACUUCACUAGCCCAAGGCUGUUCCCCGGCUGAGUAUCAAAGACUUGCUGCAAACAACGAAGGUGGGAGAGCUUUUCAAAGGAGAGGCGACAAGAACCCUUUCUAAUGGAAAGUAAUCGGCAACUCAAGUAUAGGGACUGCUGCCAGAUCCUCCUGGCAUUGCUGCGAGCUCUUGCAGUUUGCAUGAGUCUCAUGCUGUUCGGUGUUUUUCUUAAAGCUGCAGGUCCAGGAAUGAUGUAAGCACAUGAGAAUCUCAUUGAAACCCCCUUCCAGAUCCCAAGAAAAGAUUGAAAACAUGGCCCCUAAGAGCUCCAUAAUCAAGGCGAAGACUGGGAACCCCACAUUCGUUGCUUGUUAAAAAUCUCAUGAUUUGUAAGCCAUCCUCAGGGUUUUUGAAUGCGUGGAGUUAGUGACCCUGAGGCAGGUUCUGUGCCACCCGCUCCCCAAGCUCCGGAUAGGGUGUGUCUGGGAUGGGGAUGGGAGAGAUGCCUUAACUGCUCCUGGGUUGCUUUGGCCUCCUGCUGGCCCAGGUUGCGGGGGGGGGGGGGGGAAGCAGGCAGGUGGCUGCUCCUUGUCUCUUCCCCCAGCUAUGCUGCACUGCACACACAGGAUGUGCUGCACACACAGGAUGUGCUGCAGUUUCUCUCUGUUUCCUGCCUGCGGAAGGGACAGAGUUAGCCCUGCUCUGUGAAACAACAGGAAAGAAAUGGUUUGGGUUCAGUGAGUCGCAGAAAACGAGCCCAGCCCGUGAAGCAACUGUCAGUGCAAAAUCCCUCUUGCAUCCUUCCGACCUGCCCCCAACACUCUAGCACGCUGGUGGGUGGGGGCGCAGUAUAUUUGUGUGACAGCAGCGACUAGAGGCUCCUCCCGGGAACAGGGCCCGCUGGGCAGGGUGCAGUGUACACACAGGAAGAGUCAGCCCUGCCUCAGGUUGCUUCCAGUUAGCAGGUGGGGAGUGGGCAGUGAGAUCUUUGCAGUAAGGGAGAAUGGCAAAGGCCAUCUCGGGGCCAUGUAUGCUCACUGCAAGGGCAGGUCUGUGCUGCAAAGAGAGCUGCUGUGUAUUUAACUUGGGUUAGCUGGCCCAGGUUACAAUAGAAGUGAAGACCCGGCAACUUGGCUUUUAACACAGGUUAGCAGCUCAAGCCAAAGCCUGUGGGGCAGUCUGGUGCUGAAUUUGAGCCAGAAGUGAGUUGCCGUGCCUCGCUGCUGUUCUACCCCAAAUUAGCUAAUCCCAGGUAACAUCUUUUGAGGCUGCCGGAGAGGUGUGAAAGGGCCUGCACGUUAAUGAGCGUCUGGCGCCACCAGUCUGAAGGAAAGACUGAAGGAAACCCAUGGAGGUGAGAAAGGGUUGGGCUGGGUGAGUACUGUCAGAUUCGCGCCAGCUCCCAAUGGAUGCUCCUAUCUCAGGUGAAGAGCACCUCAGUUCAGCGUAGCUUUCCCAGUGAAACCAGUGGCUCCAGGAUGCCCGCAAUGUGAAGUGAGCAAAGUGUUCACACCAGCCUUGUUGAGUCCAGUUCUAAAAUGACUGAGUUGAACUGAAAAAAAGAAAAGGAGUACU